GAUGAACGCUGGCGGCGUGCCUAAUACAUGCAAGUCGAGCGAACAGACGAGGAGCUUGCUCCUCUGACGUUAGCGGCGGACGGGUGAGUAACACGUGGAUAACCUACCUAUAAGACUGGGAUAACUUCGGGAAACCGGAGCUAAUACCGGAUAAUAUAUUGAACCGCAUGGUUCAAUAGUGAAAGACGCUUUUGCUGUCACUUAUAGAUGGAUCCGCGCCGCAUUAGCUAGUUGGUAAGGUAACGGCUUACCAAGGCAACGAUGCGUAGCCGACCUGAGAGGGUGAUCGGCCACACUGGAACUGAGACACGGUCCAGACUCCUACGGGAGGCAGCAGUAGGGAAUCUUCCGCAAUGGGCGAAAGCCUGACGGAGCAACGCCGCGUGAGUGAUGAAGGUCUUCGGAUCGUAAAACUCUGUUAUUAGGGAAGAACAAAUGUGUAAGUAACUAUGCACGUCUUGACGGUACCUAAUCAGAAAGCCACGGCUAACUACGUG
rnacentral:rRNA from 1 species